rnacentral:tRNA from 2 species
GCCCGGUUAGCUCAGAUGGUAGAGCAUCAGACUUUUAAUCUGAGGGUCAUGGGUUCGAGCCCCAUAUUGGGCG